UUUAAUUUUAUUUUCAUUUGGACAAGUUACCCCAAGUAUCAUCAAUUCAUGAUGACUGGUUUGGUGUGAUGAAUUGAUCCUGGUGCUGAUUUAAGAGUUUUUUAUGACGCUGUCUUGUAAGGGAGUAAGGUCUGGUAUCUAUAUGGCUGUUAUUUUAGCUCUUACAGAUUGCCAUAUAUGACAUGCUAAUUGUUUUUAGCUCUUGAUAUAGUUAAACUUUUUUUUUUGAAACGGAGGCAAAAGAUUUGCCUCAUCCAUUAAAUGGGAGGAGAAUAGAGUUAAACUUUGGAUGCACCAGUGCCUGAUGCAUAUGUUUGUUUACUUGGUUUGAACUCUGAAUGAUAUGUUGUUAUCCUGAUUGCAUGCCUGAUGAGUUGGUUCUGCUGGUAUUUUGUGGAGGCAAGCUGUGGUUUUACUCAUGGCCCUGAGAAGGGUGAACUAGGCCAUAGCGAGGGCGCCUUCAGGAACAUCGAGUCAGGGUGCCUCACUUUCUAUUUCAGUCUGCGAGGUUUUCAACAUCACGAAUUUCAUACUUAUGGAGUGGAGCUACCAAAAUAUCUAUUGAGGAAAUAUGUCGAAGCACAGAAUAUAUUCCAUAUGCAGUAGACUAACAGAACGACACAACACAUAAAAAGAGGAGUAUAAGUGGAAACCUUUCUUUCUCUUUAAAUUCUUGAGGAUGGUAACAUUAUGAUGAUGGUGGAACCAUAGAGAGAUGUGUAUUUUUAAUUGAGAUAUUUUCAGGAGUACCUUUGCAAAGCUGAUAUAUCUUUCUUUUACAAGAUAUGGUUGCACUUGCUUCAUCUACAUAGGCCGUCUGGAAUGCCAUGAGGCCGGGAUUUGUGUAGGAAAUCUUCAAAGCUAUUAUAUUGGUCUCAAGAAACUUGCAAUACAUCAAUGCAUUUUUAUUUUUAUUGUUUGCUGACACCACAGCUACCACCUCUUCACUAAAUGACAGAGGUUCCCAGCAGCUGCACAUGGAAAGAUUGAAUGUUAUAUUCUGUCUACUAAUCAAUAAGGAGGGAGAUCAAAAUUACUGCUCUCAAAUAUUCGCCUGAUCAUUUGUAUGUUUCUACAAUUUUCCUGCUUGUUGGAACAUGUUUGAUGUACUUACACAUUAACAAAAAUGAUCUGUAACAUUCAUGAAAAUAUUUGGGUUUGGUC